GCCUCCACCCACGCCGGCGUCGGCGGGCGUAUUUCGCCUCACAGUAGGUCGCCGCGACCCGUUGCUUUUGGGGACGUCGAAGGCCCGGACGGAUUGGUACCCUACCGGCUGGGGAUGCGGCUUCGGCUUCUCCUCUUGUCCGGUGGGCGAAACCGCCGGUGUCCUGGCUGCCCUGCGACGGUCGUAGAGACGAGCCCUCCCCUUCGGGGGGGCGGCUCUCGCGGCGUGCAAAAGGUCGGUGAUCCACCCGACCCGUCUUGAAACACGGACCAAGGAGUCUAACAUGUGUGCGAGUCAGUGGGCGCACUAAACCCAGAGGCGUAAUGAAAGUGACACGGGUUCGGCUGUCGCCUCGUGUGGCAGCCGGACUCAGGGCCGAUCCCUCACCGGUUGCCCUCGCCUCUCUCCCGCGUCUCGGUAAGCCGGGUGAGCUAUUUUCCCCGGCCGCUGCUGCGGGGCGCGGGGGGAGGCGGGGUGCGAUGGUGUCCGUAAAAAAGAGCCUGCUGUUGCAGGGGGGCGCAGGCCCGGGACUUGCCAGGACGCCGCGAGACUGUCACUUUGCUGUGAGGCUCUCGGGCCGAUCAGCGGGUCAUGCGUGCAGUCGGCAAGUACCAUGAGCAGACAUGUUGGGACCCGAAAGAUGGUGAACUAUGCCUGGCCAGGAUGAAGCCAGAGGAAACUCUGGUGGAGGUCCGUAGCGAUUCUGACGUGCAAAUCG
rnacentral:rRNA from 1 species